GUGAAUGAGUGAAUGAAUGAAUGGGAGUAAAGGCUUCUAACAGGCUUGCCAGUGGCAGCUGGGGCUCUCUGUAAAGCUCAGUAACAGCGGGCCUUUAUCUGACCAACCACCUGACACAAUCUGGGAGCACACCACCGUCCAAACAUUUCUCUUGGCUUUGCCCCAUCUGUCUGCUUCGCUCACUUCCUUCAGGGCAUCUUGAGACCCGAGUCUGGUGCACAGACCACCAAUUUUGAUCUGGUUCUCUGCAUCAGAAGAGGUUAGGAAGUGUGGGUCCUAUUCAGAUUGGAUGAGCUUUCUCGUCUCCUAACUUCAUCUGGAAUAAAUGCAGAUUUGCUCAGCUUGUUUGAAGAAAGCAUUAUGACCCUGAAUCCGGAGAAGUCUUUAUUUUGUAACAUAAUUUUUAAAAUGAAAGCUUCACAUGUGAGAUAAAUGCACUCAGAGACUCCUCACAAGUAGCUCUUUGGAGCUUCAGAUGUGAAAUGGAUCAUUCCUCAAUCUGUAAUAGACCCUUCUGUGAAGCUCUUCAAUCAAACCUGAGAAUUCAAGGGGAAAUUGAGGGGAGGAUGAGAAACCCCUACAGGGGGGUUUGAGUGAAGUAGUUGAGAGAAAACCUGGAGUAUUUGGUGCGUCUUUUUUUUCAGUUCUUUUCUUGGGCAUGUAGGAAGACCGUCAAUCACUGUGCAACCUUACGUGCUGUAUAUGUGUCAUACCUGGGUACAGCGAGACAAGCUAUAGAGGACUCCCGCUACACAGGCAUCUUUGAUUCUUUUCCAUUUGUUGUUUUUCCUGACAGCCUUCAGGUUAUUUUUAAAGUGGCUCUUUUAAUAUAGACUUAUUAUAUUAUUAGAUUUUCUCUUUCCAUGAAAUUAUUUAUUAGUUGAUAGGAUGAAUUUUUAAAAAAUCUUUUGAGAAAAGCAUAAAUAAUCUUUUAAGAAAGUUAGUGAAGAAUGAUAACUAGUUGGAAGAAUUGUCAUAUUUUGUUAAGUGAUGAUCCUGGCGUUUUGUAGCAUCCUAAACAGAAGGAUAUUGAAGGGAGCUGAUUCUGCUUUGAUCCUUGUGCUUGUUGUCAAAGCGCUUGGGAUUGAAGAGACUGUUGGCUACAAUUGACUGUGACAAUUAGGAGAUGAUCAGAGCCCUAGAGUGGAGCACUUAAAGGGUAAUUUACAUGUCAGUUUGUCGAAUAAAAAAAAAGAAGAUAUUCAGCUAAGAUUUUUUUCCCCUCAGAGCCUUGUAAACUGCAAUUUGUGCUCUGGUAAGAAAAACCUGGCAGAGGACUUAGGAUAGCCAUUACCAUUUGAAAAGAAGCAAUCAUAAGGCCGCCGCUGAGCCCUUUGUCCACUAAAAAUGCUGAUUUGCAGGCAGUGAGUGAAAAAGUGGAACCGUCACUAAAUAAAACCUAGAGCUAGGUAACUACCCCCCCACCCCC
ensembl:lncRNA